rnacentral:rRNA from 1 species
GACGAGCGCUGGCGGCGUGCUUAACACAUGCAAGUCGAACGGAAAGGCCCUGCUUUUGUGGGGUGCUCGAGUGGCGAACGGGUGAGUAACACGUGAGUAACCUGCCCUUGACUUUGGGAUAACUUCAGGAAACUGGGGCUAAUACCGGAUAGGAGCUCCUGCUGCAUGGUGGGGGUUGGAAAGUUUCGGCGGUUGGGGAUGGACUCGCGGCUUAUCAGCUUGUUGGUGGGGUAGUGGCUUACCAAGGCUUUGACGGGUAGCCGGCCUGAGAGGGUGACCGGCCACAUUGGGACUGAGAUACGGCCCAGACGCCUACGUGAGGCAGCAGUGGGGAAUAUUGCACAAUGGGCGGAAGCCUGAUGCAGCAACGCCGCGUGCGGGAUGACGGCCUUCGGGUUGUAAACCGCUUUCGCCUGUGACGAAGCGUGAGUGACGGUAAUGGGUAAAGAAGCACCGGCUAACUACGUG